GACGAACGCUGGCGGCGUGCUUAACACAUGCAAGUCGAACGCUGAAGCACCAGCUUGCUGGUGUGGAUGAGUGGCGAACGGGUGAGUAAUACGUGAGUAACCUGCCCUUGACUCUGGGAUAAGCCCGGGAAACUGGGUCUAAUACUGGAUGCUACAUGUCACCGCAUGGUGGUGUGUGGAAAGGGUUUACUGGUCUUGGAUGGGCUCACGGCCUAUCAGCUUGUUGGUGAGGUAAUGGCUCACCAAGGCGACGACGGGUAGCCGGCCUGAGAGGGUGACCGGCCACACUGGGACUGAGACACGGCCCAGACUCCUACGGGGGGCAGAGGGGGGGAUGAUUGCACAAGGGGCGAAAGCCUGAGGCAGCGACGCCGCGUGAGGGAUGACGGCCUUCGGGUUGUAACCCUCUUUCAGCAGGGAAGAAGCCACAAGUGACGGUACCUGCAGAAGAAGCGCCGGCUAACUACGUG
rnacentral:rRNA from 1 species